rfam:Gavia stellata contig112743, whole genome shotgun sequence.
AUAAAGGCUCCUUUUGGAGCCAUAGGCAAUAAACUUCCCCUUUCUGG